UCCACGCCGUAAACGAUGUCAACUAGCCGUUGGGAGCAUUUGAGCUUUUAGUGGCGCAGCUAACGCAUUAAGUUGACCGCCUGGGGAGUACGCACGCAAGUGUAAAACUCAAAGGAAUUGACGGGGGCCCGCACAAGCGGUGGAGCAUGUGGUUUAAUUCGAUGCAACGCGAAGAACCUUACCAGCCCUUGACAUUGAUAGAAUCCUUUAGAGAUAGAGGAGUGCCUUCGGGC
rnacentral:rRNA from 1 species